AGUGAUGAAGGUUUUCGGAUCGUAAAACUCUGUUGUCAGGGAAGAACAAGUGCCGGAGUAACUGCCGGCGCCUUGACGGUACCUGACCAGAAAGCCACGGCUAACUACGUGCCAGCAGCCGCGGUAAUACGUAGGUGGCAAACGUUGCUCGGAAUCAUUGGGCGUAAAGCGCACGUAGGCGGCUUCGCAAGUCGGAUGUGAAAUACCUAGGCUCAACCAAGGACGUGCAUCCGAAACUGCGAGGCUUGAGUACAGAAGAGGAUCGCGGAAUUCCCGGUGUAGAGGUGAAAUUCGUAGAUAUCGGGAGGAACACCAGUGGCGAAGGCGGCGAUCUGGGCUGAUACUGACGCUGAGGCGCGAAAGCGUGGGGAGCAAACAGGAUUAGAUACCCUGGUAGUCCACGCCGUAAACGAUGAGUGCUAGGUGCUAUGGGUAUUGACCCCUGUGGUGCCGUAGCUAACGCGUUAAGCACUCCGCCUGGGGAGUACGGUCGCAAGACUA
rnacentral:rRNA from 1 species